rnacentral:rRNA from 1 species
GACGAACGCUGGCGGCGUGCUUAACACAUGCAAGUCGAACGGAAAGGCCCUGCUUUUGUGGGGUGCUCGAGUGGCGAACGGGUGAGUAACACGUGAGUAACCUGCCCUUGACUUUGGGAUAACUUCAGGAAACUGGGGCUAAUACCAGAUAGGAGCUCCUGCUGCAUGGUGGGGGUUGGAAAGUUUCGGCGGUUGGGGAUGGACUCGCGGCUUAUCAGCUUGUUGGUGGGGUAGUGGCUUACCAAGGCUUUGACGGGUAGCCGGCCUGAGAGGGUGACCGGCCACAUGGGGACUGAGAUACGGCCCAGACUCCUACGGGAGGCAGCAGUGGGGAAUAUUGCACAAUGGGCGGAAGCCUGAUGCAGCAACGCCGCGUGCGGGAUGACGGCCUUCGGGUUGUAAACCGCUUUCGCCUGUGACGAAGCGUGAGUGACGGUAAUGGGUAAAGAAGCACCGGCUAACUACGU